rnacentral:rRNA from 1 species
CCUACGGGUGGCUGCAGUCGAGAAUCUUUCGCAAUGGGCGCAAGCCUGACGAAGCGACGCCGUGUGAGCGAAGAAGGCCUUCGGGUUGUAAAGCUCUUUCGCUAGGGAACAAGAAAGGAGUAUUAAUAACACUCCAAUUUGAGGGUACUUGGUAAAGAAGCACCGGCUAACUCCGUGCCAGCAGCUGCGGUAAUACGGAGGGUGCAAGCAUUGAUCGGAAUUACUGGGCGUAAAGGGCGCGUAGGCGGCCUGAUUAGUCAGAUGUGAAAUUCCACGGCUCAACCGUGGAGCUGCAUUUGAAACUGUCAAGCUAGAGCGUAGUUAGGGAAAACGGAAUUCCACAUGUAGCGGUGAAAUGCGUAGAUAUGUGGAGGAACACCGGUGGUGAAGACGGUUUUCUGGGCUAUGGCUGACGCUGAGGCGCGAAAGCUAGGGGAGCAAACAGGAUUAGAUACCCUAGUAGUC